rnacentral:rRNA from 1 species
UACGUAGGGUGCGAGCGUUGUCCGGAUUUAUUGGGCGUAAAGGGCUCGUAGGCGGCGUGUCGCGUCGGGGAGUGAAAGCCCCGCUGCUUAACGGCGGGUUGGCUUCCGGUACGGGCAUCGCUGGAGUGCGGCAGGGGAGACUGGAAUUCCUGGUGUAGCGGUGGAAUGCGCAGAUAUCAGGAGGAACACCGGUGGCGAAGGCGGGGUCUCUGGGCCGUUACUGACGCUGAGGAGCGAAAGCGUGGGGAGCGAACAGG